AGCUUCUCAUGAAAUAUAGAAAAUUAAAAUAAGAAAUACAAGAAAGCGAAAAAGAAGAACCUAUGUCUCAAGGCAAAGAUUUAUCGUUUACUGAAGGAUUAUCUGUCAGAUGACACUGAAGUCUGAUGAAGAGAGUUCCGGUUGCAAUGCCAAGACGAGCGGAGGCAUGUAGCAGUUGCUCCGCUCUCCAUUCCACCGCAACUAAACCCGUUUAUGGUCCCAACUAAGGAGACAACUGAUUGGAGGCCACUAGGGUGCCCAAGCCAAGGGAGGCUUGAGUCGAGGGUCUGAAGGGGACCUGAGAACUGCAGUUUUCCUCCAUUCCCCCUCAAGGGGAACGGAGGGGAGCGGGUUCGGCAAAGGUCGCAAGACAGCUGGGACUGCGGACACUGUGAAGUCUGAUGCUGUGCCAACCACCGAUUCUUCAAAGGACUAAAGAGAAGCAAAACUACAUCUCAAUAAGAAUUAGGAAAAGAAACUAAUUUGGCUAAAGAAAAAAUACUGUACGGACGAGCCAACUCCAGCCAUUCGUUGAAGCAAAUUGUAUUUGGCAACAAGGGAGACGUUAAUAUUUACAGAAAUAUGAAAGUGAUCAAAACAUCACCAUCAUUGACUGGCACACUUCAGCCGCAGCCAAAGUUUGGGACUGUUGCACAGGGAUAUGAACCAAAACGUGCUGUUCCUUACCUGCCAGAUGGAGAACGCCCAAUACUGCCUGAAUACAGGUUUGAAACUGUUACACAUGACCCAGAAGUACAUCCAAGAAGCGCUGUUCCUUAUCUGGCAGAUGGAGAGCGCCAGGUAAUUUACGCUUUGUCUCUGCUAGCCUUAAGAUCCUAACCAGUCCCCAAAUGCCCCCAAUUUGAGGGGAGUGCAAUUUUCAGGCAAUUUUUGCCUCCAAAGAGGGCCUCCUGAAUGUGUAAAAAAUACAACAAAUACCUCCUUUUUGUAACUUUUGUAUGUUUUAAAUUUUUAAACUCUAUAGCAUUAUAACUGGGUCGUUUCAAUUGCCUUUUAAAAUUGUUUUAAUGUGUUUUUAUAUUGCGAGUCCCUUGUUUGUUGUUUGUUUGGGGAGAAAAGUGGCUUGGAAAGAAAAUAAUAAAUAAAUAAAU